UACAGAGGUCUCAAGCGUUGUUCGGAUUCAUUGGGCGUAAAGGGUGUGUAGGUGGCGCGCUAAGUCGGGUGUGAAAUUUCGGAGCUUAACUCCGAAACUGCAUUCGAUACUGGCGUGCUUGAGGACUGGAGAGGAGACUGGAAUUCAUGGUGUAGCAGUGAAAUGCGUAGAGAUCAUGAGGAAGACCAGUGGCGUAGACAGCUUACUGGACCACUUCUGACGCUGAGACACGAAAGCGUGGGUAGCAAACAGG
rnacentral:rRNA from 1 species